rnacentral:rRNA from 1 species
GCGAAAUUCCUUGUCGGGUAAGUUCCGACCCGCACGAAAGGUGUAACGAUUUGGGCGCUGUCUCAACAAAGGAUCCGGUGAAAUUGUAGUAGUGGUGAAGAUGCGACUUACCCACGGUAGGACGGAAAGACCCCGUGGAGCUUUACUGCAGGUUGACAUUGAAUUUUGGGAUUAAAUGUACAGGAUAGGUGGGAGACUAAGAAGUAAGCUCGCCAGAG